GUGAGACCAAGGUGAAUAAUGAUGAGCUGGAAGCUGUAGUGGAAGCGGAUGCAUCUGAAACUACGCGUGAGUUAGCAGCAAUGUUUGAUGUUUUGAUUCCAACUGUAUUGGACCAUCUGAAACAAAUCGGCAAGGUAAAGAAGCUGAACCAGCGAGUACCAGACAA